AUCCAAGUAAGUUUUGGACACCUCCAGAGAGGGAGACUUCAUGACCUCCCUGGGCAGCCUGUUCCAGUGCUCAGCCACCAUCAAUGUAAAGAAGUUCUUCUUCGUAUUGAGGUGGAACUUCUCAUGUUUUAGUUUAUGGUC